UGGGGAAGUAUUGCGUCAAUGGGCGGAAAGCCAUGACGCAGCGACGCCGCGUGGGGGAUGACGGCCUUCGGGUUGUAAACCUCUUUCAGCAGGGACGAAGCGCAAGUGACGGUACCUGCAGAAGAAGCACCGGCCAACUACGUGCCAGCAGCCGCGGUAAUACGUAGGGUGCAAGCGUUGUCCGGAAUUAUUGGGCGUAAAGAGCUCGUAGGCGGUCUGUCACGUCGGCUGUGAAAUCCCGAGGCUCAACCUCGGGUCUGCAGUCGAUACGGGCAAACUAGAGUAUUGCAGGGAGACUGGAAUUCCUGGUGUAGCGGUGAAAUGCGCAGAUAUCAGGAGGAACACCGGUUGGCGAAGGCGGGUCUCUGGGCAAUAACUGACGCUGAGGAGCGAAAGCGUGGGGAGCGAACA
rnacentral:rRNA from 1 species